GGCCGGUGAAGCGCGAGCUUGUAACAUCCCAAAAUUUCAAACCUUUACAUGUGCAUUGCAUCCAUGAGCAUCAUGCCACAAUUGCAUGUUUGAAUUCAAAUUUGAAUCUCAAAAGUCUUUAAAAGAUUUGGUUUACACCCAUUUGAGCUUUGGAUCUUCAAACCAUUAAGGUUCAAGUAUAAAAGGGGUUUAUUGCAUAUAUAAGCUAUCCCAUAAUUUUUGGAUAAUUAUUUGGAGUUGAAAAAGUGUUUUAUUUAAAUGGAUAUAUAGCCCUAAAGGCAUUUAUAGGGCAAAUGUAUUUUUAUAUAUUUUAUUUUGAGAGGAAACUACUUCCAAAAGUUGUAUCUUGGUAGAACAUGAUUUUACAAAUUUUCUGGAAUUUAUUUGGACCAAUUUGGAGUUCAAACACAAAAGAUAUCAAAGAAUUGAGAAAAACGGAAAAAGAAAAGGCCUAAAAGAAAAAAAAAAAAGGGUAAACCGGACCGGCCCGGCCAAAAUGGGCCGAACCGGCCUAGUCCGACCGUGCCCGACCGGCCCAGACCGCCCGGUCCGCGCGCGCGUGCCCCGCACCUGCUGACAAGUGGGGCCCACCUGUCAGGGGGGCUUCGUCCUCGCGGGGAAAGCUCCCGCAAUCCCCGCGACGCCUGCCAUGGACGCCGCCGCGCGCAAUCUCUGCCGCCCCGUCUGCUCGGACCUUCCCGAAGUGCUCCUCUCACAUCCCUUUAAAGCUCUCGCCUCCGCGCUCCUUUCCCCUCUGCUCGCCCCUGCUCGCACGCCGCCAGGCCGCCGGAAUCGCUCGCCGGAGUAGCUCCGCGCCCGCCGCCGUCCCGAGCUCGCCGUCACCUACACGGUACGCCAAGAACGACCGGACCUCCCCCAUAUUCUUUCUCUCCUCCUCGCGGUUCGUUUGACGCGCUCCUUCUCCAUCUUUGUGCCUUGCAGCGCCGCCCGCACCGCCGCCCGA
rnacentral:lncRNA from 1 species